UGGCACCUUGUUCCUCGGGAUUGCUGCCCAAUGUUUUUCCUUCCAGCCAUGUGUAUGCGGCUUCUCUUGAUUGGAUGUGGCAGUUGCUUGUCGAUUCAGACUCUGUUUCCUGAUCUCCAUCUCGGCCGUGUAUCUGGGUGACGUCCUUUUGCUCUCCGCUCCUUGCCAAGAAUGAGAGCAGUUUUCUGGGCUGGAAACCCAUUGACGUCGUCGUCCAGAUACGGUAUCUCCAUUUAUAGUAAAAUCCAGCCAAUGUGCAUUCUAUUCAAAUCUGCUUAAGGCUGUCCAUCUGAUCAUCCCUCUGUCUAUACAGUACAUAGACCAUUGUCUUCUCCAAAACCAAUCUCUUUCCCAGACCGAUGAACCCCACGCCACAUAUUAUUGUGCCAGUUGGAUUUGAUGCCUAUCUUCUGUGGCAUCAGAUAUACCCACACACUCUGAUAUCAUUCUGCAUCAAUUAUUUGGCACUUGUUUAGCGCAUGAGCCCUACUGUAUUCUAGAAUUCAAGCAGCAGUCUCUCCACCCACAGUCCCAGAGUUGGCGUCGGUUCUACAUCCACACUCCCAGAGUUGGCGUCGGUUCGAUGCUCCCAGGCCAGGAGAAGCAGAAGGUGGUCGUGGGGACUCCAAACUUGUAAUUGUCCCUUUUAUCUCCACCAGCGACCCAAUGCCGUGAUAACGCGCAAUCUGAUAGGGGUGAAAGGGGAUCGUUCAUCACCCUCUCCCGUUGCAAGCCUAGGGUUCACAUAUGGCGUUUGAGAUGUAUCACAGAGAAUAUAAAUUGCCGUAAAAUGGAAAAAGAAACAGAUAUUAUUAGUCAUUAACGUUACAAAUGUUCGAGCCAUUAAGUCAUUCGUUUUCCUAUUGCUUAAAAUCCUCUGGUUUCCUGAUAUAUUGCAUGGGGGGGGGGAGCCCAACGCUGAUCACUACCAGGUGGGCCAUGAUCACAUCGGUGAUUCUUCAGUGCUGGAACAACAAUUCUAUGACAACACAAACAAGCGCAUUGAAUUUGUUCAUAUAAUAACACGGCGCUGUGUAGACUUAAAGGCACAGGAACUAUAUGGAUUCUGAAGACUUUGAGUGUCGGAUUUUGAACUUUGCACCCCCGUGUGUUGCAAGACAACGUGCAGAUCAAGGAGAAAGCCAGAAAUGUAGACUUUUGAACCAGUGAUGUUGCUUUUAAAUCCAAUAUCCAUCCAAGAAAACGACUAAUCACAACAUUGUAUGGGAAGUCAGAUCUCCUCCAGCCAAGGCUCAACAUUCCCCCCAUGACACAGUACUGGAUAUGAGUAACUGGACAGCCUUAACCAAAUAAUAUAUUGAUAUCACUGUGACUUUCCAGCUCUUUGACAUUUCCUGAAUACAAAACUGGAUUUUCCAAAUUUUUCGAGUCAUGGAGGCAAAGAAAGCAGCUUGCUCGGGUCUAGGGGUCUCCAUGUUUGCGAUGUUGACAAGGCAAAGGCUGGAUCAAAGGCCCCGCACCCUUCUGAGCUUCGUGGGACGUAAUUAGAAUAAGUGGAAGCUAAUUUCUGAGAGAAAGAUAAGAGGGGUGACGUUAUAGUGAGAAAAGAAACAGAAACACUGGCAAUGUCGUUGGGAGCCAGAAAAUCGCAGGACGGGGUCUACUCAGCAAAACGUAAGUACAAAGUCUCUCAACUGCUCGUCGUAUUAUAGGAAUCUCACUCUUACUGAUAUUCGCACAGAGUUUUGAGGCUUCCCUAAUGAAGUAAAUAGUCAUUCUUCCCAUGUGUCUCCUAACAGGUCUUUAGUCUACCACCCAACCCCAUAGGGUCUCCCUGGUUCCUCUGCCAGUAGUAAACAGCUAAUUAUUACUAUUAAUUAGCUGUUACGAACGGAGUCCCAAAGCCAGAACUAGUGAAAAGGUCCUGGUUGCAGCUCAAUGUUCCGCCUCGAAGAAUCACCUUUGGCUUUGGGAGGAGCCAUCCUCUAUUCGAGUGCCAUCAGGUCUUAACAUGAGAGGACCAGAGAGAGAGUUCUGGGCAGGCAAGUGAACCGGACGUUGUAUACUGGAACGGAGAACAAGGAGAGUGGUCAAGGGACAGGCCGGGUCGAUACCAAUCAGGAGAAGCAGUACAGAUCCAAGAGACGAGAGAGUAGUCGAGGUCGCAGGCUGAGUCAAACACACGAAUAUCACGGUACAAGGCAGGAUCCGAGAAAGUAGUCUGUUCACGGGCAAGGGUCAGGACAGGCAGCGAAAUAGACAUGGUCAGGGACAGGCAGGGUCAGGAACAGAUCAGAAACACGAGAAAUCACACCCAGGAACUAUUUAAAAUAGACCCUACGUUGGGCAGUGUGUUAGCAAGCGCAAGCCUUUUAAAUAUAUUAUUUUCGCUCCAAUGCGUGAUGAUGUCACGCGGCGCUCUGAAUAGAGACGAAGAUACACGAGCACUGUGCAAUUCGGCUCAAUGUUGAGGCUUAUGGGAAUUCAUCAGGCAAGGACCGCAUCAACGUGCCUGAUGAAUCCCCGUUGUUGCUGGCAAAACCCUGAGCCACUAACAUUAUUCUGGGCCAUGAAAAAUUCUGGCCUACAAUCAAUGGUGACAGAUUAGAUUAGUGCAUUAUUUUACCUUAGUGCACAGCAACACAAUAUUCCACAAUUACUGGUUGGUAAAGUCGGCCAGAUCUGUACAGGCAAUGCUACUGGUUGCAGGAACAUACGGGCCACAAAUGAGAUGCUUAUAUUGUUUCUUGGUUGAUUCUAUGUAACCAUACUUUAAUUUUGUCUACAGAAAUGACUUGAAGGAUAUGGCUGGGCCCAACCACUGCCUCCUCCGCUCCCGCCUCGUGCUGAUGUGUCUUUAUCUCUUUCUUUCCAUGCUGCUGCUCUUCGUUGGCUGUUUUGUGAGCUGCUUUGUAUUCGUCUACGUGUCCAACUUGCUUUACAGGCACUGAAUGAAUUCUAACUGCCAUCGGGUGAUUGUGAAACACUGCUUCACCGAUUAUCCAUCAAUUAUAUUAUUUAAUGAAUUUAUUAUGAGAGAAACGAAGUGUUCAUGGAAUAAAAAUUGGUCUGGAGUCCAUUAGCCCUGUCCCUGCAAGAACUAACUGAUUCUCUGGACUCCCUGCUCUGGUGCUGCUCUCUUCCCCCAUGGUCAGGCACAGGGGGUGGGAGCAGAGAAAUAUACAGAAGCCUUUAACAGAGCUUUGACUAUAACACUGAUGACUUUAUCAAAAUAACACAGUUUCUGUGUUCCAUGGAGUAGCCUAGGAGCAUAAAAUAACUUACAGUAUGUAGUUGCGUUAGUACUUGGGGGAAACUGGAUGAAUGUACUCAUGGAAAGUUUCCUAGUAGUAGCUAAGGUGUUGUCCUAAGUGGGCUUGUGCUACAAUGCCGUGGUGAAAUCCUAAUUGGUGGAUGCUAUAUAAAUGCUACACCAAACCUGUUUGUGGCCCGGCAAGCUGCUGGAAAUGAUGAUGCUUUCCCUUUAAGAGGCUGCUGUAAAUGUCUUUAUUAAGUUUAAUUUUGGGACAGGAGACGUGGUCAUAAGCCCUGUUCACGAGAGCUUACAAUCUAUGGAAGUUAUUUCAAACUUCUAAUUAUAUCAGGGCAAAACAAAUGUUUCACGUGUUGGAGAAAAUUCCAAAAACCAAAUCCUGCAUUGGAAAGCCAGAUGUGUUUUAAGUAGACAUAAAACAGUGAAUUUCCUGGUUUCCCAAGCAUAUGAUAAUAAUUGGUUCCUGCCACCUCUAUGGUCAGACCUCCCACUAUUAUUCAUCCAUGUGUUUCAUAUCUCUAGAUACCUUACCAGUGAAAGAAGGUAAUCCCAUUUUUGAUGCAGAUUUACAGCCAGACUUUUAAAUCUAUUUGAUAUUUAUGGAGACCACCCAAAAUAGCAUAUUAAAGUAAAAUCUAAACCUU